rnacentral:rRNA from 1 species
AGUGAACGCUGGCGGUAGGCCUAACACAUGCGAGUCGAACGGCAGCACAGUAAGAGCUUGCUCUUACGGGUGGCGAGUGGCGGACGGGUGAGGAAUACAUCGGAAUCUACUUUUUCGUGGGGGAUAACGUAGGGAAACUUACGCUAAUACCGCAUACGACCUACGGGUGAAAGCAGGGGAUCUUCGGACCUUGCGCGAUUGAAUGAGCCGAUGUCGGAUUAGCUAGUUGGCGGGGUAAAGGCCCACCAAGGCGACGAUCCGUAGCUGGUCUGAGAGGAUGAUCAGCCACACUGGAACUGAGACACGGUCCAAACUCCUACGGGAGGCAGCAGUGGGGAAUAUUGGACAAUGGGCGCAAGCCUGAUCCAGCCAUACCGCGUGGGUGAAGAAGGCCUUCGGGUUGUAAAGCCCUUUUGUUGGGAAAGAAAAGCAGCAGGUUAAUACCCCGCUGUUCUGACGGUACCCAAAGAAUAAGCACCGGCUAACUUCGUG